rnacentral:rRNA from 1 species
UCUGGUAACGAUAGCAUAAAGGUAACACCCCUUCCCAUUCCGAACAGGACGGUUAAGCUUUAUAGCGCUGAUGGUACUUCAGGGGAGGCUCUGCGGGAGAGUAAGACGUUGCCAGGU